UGCAGUUUUUUUAUUAUUGCUUCUCUACAUACAUCUUGGAUAUGGUUCAUCACUUCCUUAGUUUUAUUGUUUUUGUUUCUGCUGUAUGGCAAUGCUUCUUAGUUUUGGAGAGGCUGUUGCCAGAAGCAAUAGGUCACCUGAAAAACUGCUUAUUCUUCUCGACAUGUACGAGAUAAUGAGAAAGGUGGGGAAGAUGCUUUUUUGUGAGCAACUAUAAUGGAGGAGUUAUGGUUGUUGCUGAUGGUGUCUCUGGGUUUGGAACGAGAAUGAAUAUGAAAGAGCCGACGGGAACGAAAAGUUUAUUUUUCAAGGACUCUUCAUUGACUUAGAGAAAACAAUUUCAGACAGGUUGAACAAACUUGAAAUUUUCAUAUGGACUCAGAUUGAUGCUUUUGUGUACUAAAUGAUUAUUUGGAUGGAAGAGAACUAAGCACUUGAAACUUG